UACGGAGGAUCCGAGCGUUAUCCGGAUUUAUUGGGUUUAAAGGGAGCGUAGGUGGAUUGUUAAGUCAGUUGUGAAAGUUUGCGGCUCAACCGUAAAAUUGCAGUUGAAACUGGCAGUCUUGAGUACAGUAGAGGUGGGAGGAAUGUGUGGUGUAGCGGUGAAAUGCAUAGAUAUCACACAGAACACCGAUUGCGAAGGCAGCGUACCGGCUCUACACUGACGCUGAGGCACGAAAGCGUGGGUAUCGAACAGG
rnacentral:rRNA from 1 species